UCAAGUUAUUAAGGGUGCAGGGCGGAUGCCUUGGCACUAGGAGCCGAUGAAGGACGCGUGAUAAGCUGCGAUAAGCUUCGGGGAGUUGCACGUAAACUUUGAUCCGAAGAUUUCCGAAUGAGGAAACUCACUUAGAGUAAUGUCUAAGUAUCAUUAAGUGAAUACAUAGCUUAAUGAGGGGAACUCAGGGAACUGAAACAUCUAAGUACCUGAAGGAAGAGAAAGAAAUUCGAUUCCGUAAGUAGCGGCGAGCGAACGCGGAUUAGCCCAAACCAAUAAAGUUUUCUUUAUUGGGGUUGCGGACAUAUCAUAACGAAGAGGUAUCGUAAUUGAAGAGGUUUGGAAAGACCCACCACAGAAGGUAAUAGUCCUGUAUGUUAAACGAGAAGACUUUAGAUAUGAUCCAGAGUACCACGGGACACGUGAAACCCUGUGGGAAGCAGGAGGGACCACCCUCCAAGGCUAAAUACUACCUAGUGACCGAUAGCGUAUAGUACCGUGAGGGAAAGGUGAAAAGAACCCCGGGAGGGGAGUGAAAUAGAACCUGAAACCCUGCACUUACAAGCUGUGGAAGCACAUUUCUUGUGUGACCGCGUACUUUUUGUAGAACGGGCCAACGAGUUACGUUAAGUAGCAAGGUUAAGCACUUAAGGUGCGGAGCCGUAGCGAAAGCGAGUUUUAACUGAGCGUUCAGUUACUUGACGUAGACCCGAAACCGGGCGACCUACCCAUGAGCAGGAUGAAGCGAAAGUAAAAUUUCGUGGAGGUCCGAACCCACGAGCGUUGAAAAGCUCGGGGAUGACUUGUGGGUAGCGGUGAAAUUCCAAUCGAGCCCGGAGAUAGCUGGUUCUCCCCGAAAUAGCUUUAGGGCUAGCCUCAAGGUGAGAGAUACGGAGGUAGAGCACUGAAUGUCCUAGGGGGUAUUGCACCUACCGAAGACUAUCAAACUCCGAAUGCCGUCAUCUUAUACUUGGGAGUCAGACUGUGGGUGAUAAGAUUCAUAGUCGAAAGGGCAACAGCCCAGAUCGUCAGCUAAGGUCCCUAAAUGUAAGUUAAGUGGUAAAGGAUGUGGGAUUGCACAGACAACCAGGAUGUUGGCUUAGAAGCAGCCACUCAUUCAAAGAGUGCGUAAUAGCUCACUGGUCGAGUGAUCCUGCGCCGAAGAUUUCCGGGGCUAAAACUUACUACCGAAGCUACGGCAUCAGUAAUGAUGGGUAGGGGAGCUUCCCAUACGGGUUGAAGCAUGACCGUAAGGACAUGUGGACAGUAUGGGAGUGAGAAUGUUGGCAUGAGUAGCGAGAUGUGGGUGAGAAUCCCACAGGCCGUAAACCCAAGGUUUCCAGGGGAAGGUUCGUCCGCCCUGGGUUAGUCGGGACCUAAGCUGAGGCCGAAAGGCGUAGGUGAUGGACAACAGGUUGAUAUUCCUGUACUACCGAUAACCGUUUGAGAGAAGGGAUGACACAGUAGGAUAAGCUAAGCACACUGUUGGUUAUGUGUGCCCAAGCAUUGAGGCAGUCAAAGUAGGCAAAUCCGCUUUGAUAAUGCUGGGAUGUGAUGGGGAGCGAAAUUUAGUAGCGAAGUAGCUGAUUUCACACUGUCAAGAAAAGUCUCUAUCGAGGUUAAAGGUACCCGUACCGCAAACCGACACAGGUGGGUGAGGAGAGUAUCCUAAGGCCAGCGAGAGAACUGUUGUUAAGGAACUCGGCAAAAUGACCCCGUAACUUAGGGAUAAGGGGUGCCACCAUCAGGUGGCCGCAGAGAAUAGGCCCAAGCGACUGUUUACCAAAAACAUAGGUUUCUGCUAAGUCGCAAGACGAUGUAUAGGAGCUGACGCCUGCCCGGUGCUGGAAGGUUAAGGGGAUCUGUUAGAGCAAUCGAAGCAGUGAACUUAAGCCCCAGUAAACGGCGGCCGUAACUAUAACGGUCCUAAGGUAGCGAAAUUCCUUGUCGGGUAAGUUCCGACCCGCACGAAAGGCGUAACGAUUUGGGCACUGUCUCAACAACAGACUCGGUGAAAUUGUAAUUCCGGUGAAGAUGCCGGAUACCUGCGACAGGACGGAAAGACCCCAUGGAGCUUUACUGUAGCUUGACAUUGGGUCUUGGUACUACAUGUACAGGAUAGGUGGGAGGCUUUGAAACCAGGACGCCAGUUUUGGCGGAGCCAUCCUUGGGAUACCACCCUUGUAGUACUGGGACUCUAACCAUAGGCCAUGAAUCUGGUCUUGGGACACUGUCAGGUGGGCAGUUUGACUGGGGCGGUCGCCUCCCAAAAGGUAACGGAGGCGCUCAAAGGUUCUCUCAGUACGGUCGGAAAUCGUACGUAGAGUGUAAAGGCAAAAGAGAGCUUGAUUGCAAGACAUACAGGUCGAGCAAGGAUGAAAAUCGGACUUAGUGAUCCGGUGGUUCUGCGUGGAAGGGCCAUCGCUCAACGGAUAAAAGCUACCCUGGGGAUAACAGGCUUAUCUCCCCCAAGAGUCCACAUCGACGGGGAGGUUUGGCACCUCGAUGUCGGCUCAUCACAUCCUGGGGCUGUAGUAGGUCCCAAGGGUUGGGCUGUUCGCCCAUUAAAGUGGUACGCGAGCUGGGUUCAGAACGUCGUGAGACAGUUCGGUCCCUAUCCGUCGCAGGCGUAGGAAAUUUGAGAAGACCUGUCCUUAGUACGAGAGGACCGGGAUGGACGUACCUCUGGUGUACCAGUUGUCCUGCCAAGGGCAUGGCUGGGUAGCUAUGUACGGAAUGGAUAAGCGCUGAAAGCAUCUAAGCGCGAAGCCAACUUCAAGAUAAGAUUUCCCACCGCAAGGGUAAGACCCCAGAAAGACUAUCUGGUUGAUAGGUCGAAGGUGUAAGUGCAGCAAUGUAUUUAGCUUAUCGAUACUAAUAGGUCGAGGACUUGACCAA
rnacentral:rRNA from 1 species